AGUUUUACCCUACUGACAAAGUAGAUACUGCGACAGUAGUCGAAGUUAGUACGAGAGGAACACUUCGUCCAGAUACUUGGUUAAUGCCGUUGUCUGAAAAGACAGUACGGCGAAGCUACCAUCUGCUGGAUUACGGCUGAACGCCUCUAAGCCGGAAUCCAUGCUGGAUAAGCAGUGUUGUACACCGUGCUCAAUGCUACAAGAAAAAGGCUAGGUCAGGCUUCGGCCUGACCAAAAUUCAAGCUGCUAUACCUCUGGCUGCAUUGACUUGUGGUCAGAGUGUAUGGUGAUCAUAGCAAUUGCAAGUAUUGGGCUCGAUAAAUCCUUUGAAGACGACUUAAUUGCAUCCGGGUAUUGUAAGUGUUGAGAGUAGGCUUAGUCUUACGAUCCACUGAGAUUCAUCCCGUGUUGCGCCGAUUUGU
rnacentral:ncRNA from 1 species